GACGAACGCUGGCGGCGUGCUUAACACAUGCAAGUCGAACGGAAAGUCCCUGCUUUUGUUGGUUGCUCGUUUGGCGAUCGGUUGUGUAACACGUGUGUUUCCUGCCCUUGACUUUGUUAUAUCUUCAGGUAACUUUGGCUAAUACCCGCUAUGUGCUCCUGCUGCAUGUUGUUGGUUGGUUAGUUUCGGCGGUUGGGUAUGGACUCGCGGCUUAUCAGCUUGUUGGUGGUGUAGUUGCUUACCAAGGCUUUGACGGGUAGCCGGCCUGUGAGGGUGACCGGGGACAUUGGGACUGAGAGACGGAGCAGAAUACAACGGGAGGCAGCAGUGGGGAAUAUAGCAGAAUGGGAGGAAGCAUGAUGAAGAAAAGCGGGGAGCGGGAAGACGGCCUUCGGGUUGUAAACAGAUUUGGACGGUGACGAAGCGGGAGUGACGGUAAUGGGUAAAGAAGCACCGGCUAACUACGUG
rnacentral:rRNA from 1 species